AGAGUUUGAUCAUGGCUCAGAACGAACGCUGGCGGCGCGCCUAAUACAUGCAAGUCGAGCGAGAAGACGUAGCAAUACGUUUGUAAAGCGGCGAACGGGUGAGGAAUACAUGGGUAACCUACCCUCGAGUGGGGAAUAACUAGCCGAAAGGUUAGCUAAUACCGCGUACGCUUCUUGGACUUCGGUUCAGGGAGGAAAGCGAUACCGUGGGUAUCGCGCUCUUGGAUGGGCUCAUGUCCUAUCAGCUUGUUGGUGAGGUAACGGCUCACCAAGGCUUCGACGGGUAGCUGGUCUGAGAGGACGAUCAGCCACACUGGCACUGCGACACGGGCCAGACUCCUACGGGAGGCAGCAGUAAGGAAUAUUGCGCAAUGGGCGAAAGCCUGACGCAGCGACGCCGCGUGGGGGAUGAAGGUCUUCGGAUUGUAAACCCCUUUCGGGAGGGAAGAUGGAAUGGGGUAACCCAUUCGGACGGUACCUCCAGAAGCAGCCACGGCUAACUUCGUGCCAGCAGCCGCGGUAAUACGAAGGUGGCAAGCGUUGUUCGGAUUUACUGGGCGUACAGGGAGCGUAGGCGGUUCGGUAAGCCCUCUGUGAAAUCUCCAGGCUUAACCUGGAACAGUCGGAGGGGACUGCCGGGCUAGAGGACGGGAGAGGAGCGCGGAAUUCCCGGUGUAGCGGUGAAAUGCGUAGAGAUCGGGAGGAAGGCCGGUGGCGAAGGCGGCGCUCUGGAACGUUUCUGACGCUGAGGCUCGAAAGCGUGGGGAGCAAACAGGAUUAGAUACCCUGGUAGUCCACGCCUUAAACUAUGAAUACUAAGUGUCGGCGGGUUACCGCCGGUGCCGCAGCUAACGCAUUAAGUAUUCCGCCUGGGAAGUACGGCCGCAAGGUUGAAACUCAAGGGAAUUGACGG
rnacentral:rRNA from 1 species